UUGAUACUCCCUCCAUCCGAAAAUACUUGUCAUCAAAAUGGAUAAAAAGGGAUGUAUCUAGAUGUAUUUUAGUUUUAGAUACAUUUCUUUUUAUCUAUUUUGAUGACAAGUAUUUUGAGACAAAGGGAGUACUUU
rfam:Triticum aestivum genome assembly, contig: Triticum_aestivum_CS42_TGACv1_scaffold_526572_6DL